UGCCUGGACUGACCGGGACUACUCAGUCCAACUUCUCCAAAUGGGGCUCCCUGCUCAGCUCCUGGGGCUGCUGAUGCUCUGGGUCCCUGGAUGCAUUGGUGAUACUGUGAUGACCCAGACUCCACUGUCCCUGUCUGUCACCCUCGGAGAGUCGGCCUCCAUCUCCUGCAAGGCUAGUCAGAGCCUCCUGCAUACCAAUGGAAAUACCUAUUUGCAUUGGUUACUGCAGAAGCCAGGCCAACCUCCAAGGCGCCUGAUUUAUCAGGUUUCCAACCGGGACUCUGGGGUUCCAGACAGGUUUAGUGGCAGUGGGUCAGGGACAGAUUUCACACUGAAAAUCAGCAGGGUGGAGGCUGAGGAUGUUGGAGUGUAUUACUGCUUGCAAAAUUUAUAUAUUCCUCGCACAGUGGUACAGCCCCAAACACAAACCUCCAUGCUUGGGGUGGCCCAGCUGCCCAACUGUAUUGAUUGUCUGGUGACAGCUCAGCAGAAUCUCUGGGUGUAUAAGAGGAAGGUGUUGGAGAACUCAGGGCAACUACUUGCUUCUGAGGUCCACGUUACAUGAGUGCCUUGUCUAUAUGUCAGGCAAAAUCCAGUA